CCAGCACGGGUCUUGAAUCAUUUCCUGCUAGCUCUGGAGACGCCACGAGGGCAGAAGCAGACUUGCUUGUUGGGGAGGAUCCCGGUCUUUAGCAGGAGUUGACACUGAGAUUAUUCACGGAGUUAAAAUUUAACGCCUUCUGUCUUUGCUCAUUUAGCAUUCAACAGGAACUACCCUCACAGGGCAGACAUGUGACUUGGCCCCUAAGAAUGCAGGAGAUUUGAAUAAGUGGGGAGGAAAGUGUUCAGAGAGGUAAUAGCCAUCUUGCUACCCUGCAUCGGCGUCAUGGAGCAGCAGCAUUGGAGCCACCCGGGAGCUUCUGUUGAGUCAGACUCUCAGGGCUCGCCACAGACCUCCUAAGUCUCCUGCAUUUUCACAAGGUUCCACUUACCCAAAGUGGUGGGCCCCUUUGAAGACCACAGCCUGGGCCCAUGUGGCUGCAGCACAGAGGGUGUGAACGGCAGGCGCACUGGACAAAGAGUGAGAAAAGACUGUGGAGGAGACAGGAUAGAAUUGUUACCGAGU